rnacentral:rRNA from 1 species
CCUACGGGUGGCAGCAGUGAGGAAUAUUGGUCAAUGGACGCAAGUCUGAACCAGCCAUGCCGCGUGCAGGAAGACGGCUCUAUGAGUUGUAAACUGCUUUUGUACGAGAGUAAACGCAGAUACGCGUAUCUGUCUGAAUGUACCUUACGAAUAAGGAUCGGCUAACUCCGUGCCAGCAGCCGCGGUAAUACGGAGGAUUCGAGCGUUAUCCGGAUUUAUUGGGUUUAAAGGGUGCGUAGGCGGUUGGAUAAGUUAGAUGUGAAAUCCCGGGGCUCAACCGCGGAAUUGCCAUUGAUACUGGCAGUCUAGAGAGUAGUUGCGGUAGGCGGAAUGUAUGGUGUAGCGGUGAAAUGCUUAGAGAUCAUACAGAACACCGAUUGCGAAGGCAGCUUACCAAGCUACUUCUGACGUUGAGGCACGAAAGCGUGGGGAGCAAACAGGAUUAGAUACCCGGGUAGUC